AUGCUUAGGAAAAUGUUCCAAGGUGGUUCUUCAAAGAAGCAAGGACCCAGGCUUGCAAUGCGUGAUGCUGACGAAGAGCCACCAAGAGACGCUCCAGUGCGUCCUUGUGAGUGGCCUUCUGAAAAUUUUAUGGAUCAAGCGGGAAUAAAAGAAGAAUUCAACGCAUAUUUGCGUAACGCUGAUCUCAUGAGCUUCGAGGAAGAGAAGUGCAGUCAGUAUCAUGAGCUCACUAGCUCCUUUGUGAGGAGGUUUGAAUUUUCCACUUCACGUAAUUUUCCAACUGUCCUGUUUGAUCUUUAUGAUAAAUCUUAUACCAUGGACUUAGAGGAUUUUACCACUGCAUGCAAACUUCCACAAUGGGGUAGUAUAAGGGAUCCUCGCAAAUAUGAAUUUAGAGAUUUUCUUGCCGAUAUAACUGUGGGAGAAUCUAGGGAUAUUACACAAGCUACCAUAGGGGGCAUUCACUUUCCUGCCAUACAUUAUUUUGCUCUCUUCAUAGGUAGAUGCAUAAAUGGUAAAGAUGAGGCAUGUCACGUGUGUGUCCCUGACCUCAGUAUUCUUAGGAGUGUUGUGUUAGGAGACAAAUCAUAUAAUUUGGGAGCCAUUGUUGCACGUAGGUUGCAUCUUAUAGACGUAAUGGAGAUUUCUUUGGGGGAAUUUAUGCAACCCGCGUAG
rnacentral:rRNA from 1 species